rnacentral:tRNA from 1 species
CGGGCUGUGGACGGCUUGGACCGUACCCGCUCCCGGCGUGUACAACCGUGCCUUCGGUCCGUUUAGUCCCCGGUUCGGCGCCCGGGCGGCCUGGC